CGUUAUUCUUGUCCAAAUCCUUAUUAUUUGAAUCUGUUUCCUUUGGAGAUUUUAUUCUCGGGAUCGAAGAUUUAGAUGGAUCUGUUUUGAAAACAGCCAGGUCGAGCGUGCCUGGAUUAUAAUAACUUUUCAACAGACGUCUAAAUUGAAUCCGCCGUCCGGCUCUUCUUGUUCUUUUCGGCAUGAGAGAUUUUUAGCACAACACUUUUAAAGUA